AGGUUUUUCAACCAUGGAUGCCAUAGUGGUAGGUCACAAGGUCAUAGAACAAGUUCCACUAGAAAUCAGUGUUGGAUGGAUGCUGAUGGACAGGGUUGACAUCAUCUGGUACUCACCAGCAAGGCCCUAUCACUUGUGUCACUUGGUGCCUAUUCUGGUGAUUGGUUGGUGCCUGUACCCUAUUGCUUGUUAAAUAUUUUGAAUAUCACACCUACUAAUGACCUUGGCCUAAUAUCAGGAAGUUUCAAAAGCCCCUUCCCCUGACGUGGAUCACCCCAUAAGGGAUACAAUAAAAGAAAGGGAUGGAAACAUCCUGAAAUGAUGAUGAUCCUGUCCUAAGGAGACCAGAAUGAACCCAUGACUAAGCUCACCUUGAUUGUCAAAGUUAAGUUUUCCACGAUCAGUUUGUGAACAAAUUUAAGUUCAUUUAUAGUGAAUAAAAAGCUCCAUUUUUAACAUGUAAAUUUCAAUACUGCUACAAAUGUGAAUCACUGUAUUCUAGCUUUUGUGUCUCAUCUCUAGAUGUCAAAGCCUCUAAAGCCAUUGGGCAUUAGGUUGGGGAGGUCAAAGGGGAAACAUGUUCUUCUGCAGUUUUAAGGAGUGGGAAAGAGGGCUCAGUGGUAGUGUGUUACCACAGUGGAGUUGGACUUCCAAGCUGGCAUAGUGGAACUUUAUUUUUCUACCAUGUAGGCAUUGAGAAGAAUUUGUCAAGCAAACCCUACAACAGAUAUGAGGUUAAAGGAUAUGUUUCUUUCACAUGGGCUAAAACCAGGAGAGCUCGAUAUCAAAUAGGAAAAAAAAUCAACUAGAGGAAGAGUAAAAAAAACAAACCAAAACAAAAAUACCAGAAAGGAAAUGGGCUGAUGUUCAUAGCUUACCACAGAGUUAAUCAAAGGGGCUUAAAUGUUCUUGGAGGGAAGAGAUUUAUCAGCAUGUCUAAGAAUGAAAUUUUAAAAGAAAUAAAUGUUUUGAGUCUAUGUUUGAAAGUAGCAGGUAAAUUCAAAGGGAUUUAAGGCAUGGUAUUUGUAGAAAAGUUACUUGCCCCUUAAAAAAUGUUGUAUUUGCCUGGGUAGACUAGGAUGGGGCCAUUGGAUGUCUCUGGUUAGGACCCUGGUUGAGAGAUAUGUUCAUCAGAUCAAGGAUGAGUUCCUCAUGUGGGAGCAGUGUGGACAUUGUUAGGUAUUGGAAUGGGUGACCAGACAGAGUGAGGGAGUCUUUUCUCAGAGGUUAUGAAAAUCAGGAAACAUUUUUAUUGGUCUGUUUAGGUUUUAAACUUCUUCAAAGUAAGAGGAAGAAAAGAAGAUGAAGCAGCUGAGUCCAAUGUAGUGAGCAUCCUGAGCCAGUGCAAUACUAGGUUGUCUUCAAAUAUUAAUUAUGUAUAUUUGAAACUUAAAACCAUCAUAGAAUUUUCACUUAAAAUAGUGGAUAACAAACAUAGGUAAGAAUGGUAAGAAUGAAGAGCAUGGGGGAAUAUUACUGACAAGGGUCAAGGGAAAUGGUCUUAUUGGUCUCAACAUUUAUUUUGAUUUUGAGUCCAUCUAUUUUUCAGAAUUCCAUUAGAAGGCAUUCCGUUAUUGCUACAAAGUGUCACCAAGUGACUCUCAUACUGAUACUGGUCACAAUCUGGAAAGCCUUCAGAGGAUUUGCUAUGCUAAAAAAAAAAAAAAGGCUUGAGAAAGGUAUUGUUAAUUCAGUAUCUCUAGGUUUCAGGGUGAUUAAAAAAAAAAACUCAUAGGAUCAGGGCCACCUCUAUGUUGUACACGGCUCUAGAAAUAUAUUUUUUUUGCAGGGCCCUGUUUGUAGAAACACUUUGAUUAAAAAACAUAAAGUCACUGGACCCCUGUGAGGUAUAAUAAUUUAUCAGUGAAGAUUUAGAAUAAUGGAUGAACAAGUGUUACUUCUGUGUUUGUUAUGUGUCCAGUCAGCACCUGUGAAGGUCCUCAUGCUCUCUGGGCACUAGCUCUUCCUGUUUAGGUCCAGGGACCUUCUCUCUCUUCUCCUUUUUGUCAGAUGCACCAUUCCUGGCUAACUUCAUAUCUCCCACUGUGGGAAAAAGGUAAGAAAUACAUUAUUAGUCCCCACACUCUUUGGAGCCUGUUGGUAUUAAAGCAGUAUGGACUGAUUUUACCUCUUCAGCUCUCCCACAGUCCUCUGUUCAGUGCUGGUCAGGUCGGUACUCAUGACACCUCAUCCUCUUUGCGCUGCCCGUGAAUAUGGGCCUCCAGUGACUCAUAAGCAUCAUUAACCAAGCUUCUUUGCCGAUGACCGCAAGGAUCCAGUGCCCACCCUUCUCCACCCAGGUGUGUGCCCUGGAAGGCUGACCUGUGGACUGAUCACUGGGCUUCCAGUUGAAAUUGGCCAGUUGGACGCACCAGCAGAUCUGGCAAUCAGAUAAGAGUGAAAUUGGGGUAUUUAUUCUGCUCCCUUCCUGUGAGGACAAUGUGGACUGUCUGGAUCCUAAUACUGUGAUAAAACCAAGAACUAGUGAUUUUAAGGAACUUGCCAAAUAUUGGAAUCAGUAAGAGGUAAACCUGGGGUCUGAACUCAGAAAGCAUAGUUCCAGAACCUACUUUCCUAACUGCUACAAGGAAGGAAUUGCCAACAUUAAAAAAAAAAAAAAAAAAGUCAAGCGAUUUCAUGGAAUCAUGGGAUUCAUGCCCUCUCUUGAACAGUUGUAACAUAUGAAAUGAAAAGGAAGACUGGACCAAGUAUUAAGUCACAAUUUUCACUUCAAAGUCGCUGCCAGUGGCUACCAAUCCAAGGCCAGGGCUUCAAAAGAAAUGAGUCCUUGCCUCCUGGGCUCCCAUCUCUGACACCUCCAGCUGAGACGUUUCUGACCGGAGCAUGGUCCUGGCAAGGUGUUCUUAAUGCCAGCCAGACCUGUCCACAGCCACUAGAGCCUGGCCUACACUCCUGCUGAACCUGGCUUUCCCCCUGCUGCAGCUCACAUACCCCCUUAUCAUGGACUCCUCCUCCCCAACCCUAUCUCCUCUCCCUAGAGACACUCUCACGUUCCACUUCCUCCACUCAGCCUUCCUUUAAUUCUCCUAACUGAAGAACCUCUUCUUUUUACUUUCUGAAAUGACCAUGUAAGUCACAUGUAGAUGGUGAUGAUAACUAUAGGAGCAAUACAGCUAAGCUAACACCUGACGAUGGUCUAUUCUGCUCCCCAGCACUGUAUACACUCUUAACCCACAUUAUCUUAUUUAACUCUCAUGGAGCUCCUAUGAAAUAUGAACUUUUAUUUGUAUUGCUGAGUAAGCCGCCUUAGUAAGGUUGCAUAAAUUGUUCAAAAUCUCAUAGCUCAUUUUAUGUCUUAUGUAAAUUAUUUGUAUUCUCUUUUAUUUAUCCUCCAAAUGGAUAAUUGAGAUCAGGGAGCAUUCUUUGUUCAGCUGUGACCCCUAUUCUAAGCCUAUGGAGUAUCUUGUGCAUGGUGGGCAGUAAAUCACCAAUUUGCUGAAGAGUCUCAGAAUUCACGACUUUUGCCACCAAAUUGGUCAUGUUUUUUGGUGCUGAAUUUUAUUUUAUUUAAAAAUUUUUUCUUGUUAUCUAUCAAGCAUACACCUGUGUUCCAUGUAAUGUAAGUCGAGAUGGGGAGCAAAAAAGUGUUUCUAAGAAGUUUGGAAUAAAUUGAUUCCUGUUUUCCUUCUGUUAUA